UACGGGGGGGGUAAGCGUUGUUCGGAAUUACUGGGCGUAAAGGGCUCGUAGGCGGCCAACUAAGUCAGACGUGAAAUCCCUCAGCUUAACUGGGGAACUGCGUCUGAUACUGGAUGGCUUGGAUUUGGGAGAGGAAUGCGGAAUUCCAGGUGUAGCGGUGAAAUGCGUAGAUAUCUGGAGGAACACCGGUGGCGAAGGCGGCGACCUGGGUCGAGACUGACGCUGAGGAGCGAAAGCAUGGGUAGCGAACAGG
rnacentral:rRNA from 1 species